GACGAACGCUGGCGGCGUGCCUAAUACAUGCAAGUCGAACGCUCUUUUCUUAUCGAACUUCGGUUCACCAAGAAAAGGGAGUGGCGAACGGGUGAGUAACACGUGGGUAACCUACCCAUCAGCGGGGGAUAACACUUGGAAACAGGUGCUAAUACCGCAUAGGUUUCUUGGUCGCAUGAUCGAGAAAGGAAGACGGCCUUUGUGCUGUCGCUUAUGGAUGGACCCGCGGCGUAUUAGUUAGUUGGUGAGGUAAUGGCUCACCAAGACGAUGAUACGUAGCCGACCUGAGAGGGUGAUCGGCCACAUGGACUGAGACAC
rnacentral:rRNA from 1 species